rnacentral:rRNA from 1 species
UACGUAAGUGGCGAGCGUUAUCCGGAAUUACUGGGCGUAAAGCGUGCGUAGGCGGUUUAGUGUGUGGGAAUUGAAAGCCCGGGGCUCAACUCCGGACCCGGUCCCCAAACUGCUAGACUUGAGCGUAUCAGAGGACAGCGGAAUUCCCGGUAUAGCGGUAAUAUGCGUAGAUAUCGGGAGGAACACCAGUGGCGAAGGCGGCUGUCUGGGGUAUUGCUGACGCUGAGGCGCGAAAGCCAGGGGAGCGAACGGG